rnacentral:rRNA from 2 species
GGGUUGUGAGGUUAAGCGACUAAGCGUACACGGUGGAUGCCCUGGCAGUCAGAGGCGAUGAAGGACGUGCUAAUCUGCGAUAAGCGCCGGUAAGGUGAUAUGAACCGUUAUAACCGGCGAUUUCCGAAUGGGGAAACCCAGUGUGAUUCGUCACACUAUCAUUAACUGAAUCCAUAGGUUAAUGAGGCGAACCGGGGGAACUGAAACAUCUAAGUACCCCGAGGAAAAGAAAUCAACCGAGAUUCCCCCAGUAGCGGCGAGCGAACGGGGAGGAGCCCAGAGCCUGAAUCAGCAUGUGUGUUAGUGGAAGCGUCUGGAAAGGCGCGCGAUACAGGGUGACAGCCCCGUACACAAAAGCGCAUGUGUUGUGAGCUCGAUGAGUAGGGCGGGACACGUGGUAUCCUGUCUGAAUAUGGGGGGACCAUCCUCCAAGGCUAAAUACUCCUGACUGACCGAUAGUGAACCAGUACCGUGAGGGAAAGGCGAAAAGAACCCCGGCGAGGGGAGUGAAAAAGAACCUGAAACCGUGUACGUACAAGCAGUGGGAGCACAGGUUUACCUGUGUGACUGCGUACCUUUUGUAUAAUGGGUCAGCGACUUAUAUUCUGUAGCAAGGUUAACCGUAUAGGGGAGCCGCAGGGAAACCGAGUCUUAAUUGGGCGUUAAGUUGCAGGGUAUAGACCCGAAACCCGGUGAUCUAGCCAUGGGCAGGUUGAAGGUUGGGUAACACUAACUGGAGGACCGAACCGACUAAUGUUGAAAAAUUAGCGGAUGACCUGUGGCUGGGGGUGAAAGGCCAAUCAAACCGGGAGAUAGCUGGUUCUCCCCGAAAGCUAUUUAGGUAGCGCCUCGUGAAUUCAUCUCCGGGGGUAGAGCACUGUUUCGGCUAGGGGGCCAUCCCGGCUUACCAACCCGAUGCAAACUGCGAAUACCGGAGAAUGUUAUCACGGGAGACACACGGCGGGUGCUAACGUCCGUCGUGAAGAGGGAAACAACCCAGACCGCCAGCUAAGGUCCCAAAGUCAUGGUUAAGUGGGAAACGAUGUGGGAAGGCCCAGACAGCCAGGAUGUUGGCUUAGAAGCAGCCAUCAUUUAAAGAAAGCGUAAUAGCUCACUGGUCGAGUCGGCCUGCGCGGAAGAUGUAACGGGGCUAAACCAUGCACCGAAGCUGCGGCAGCGACACUGUGUGUUGUUGGGUAGGGGAGCGUUCUGUAAGCCUGUGAAGGUGGCCUGUGAGGGUUGCUGGAGGUAUCAGAAGUGCGAAUGCUGACAUAAGUAACGAUAAAGCGGGUGAAAAGCCCGCUCGCCGGAAGACCAAGGGUUCCUGUCCAACGUUAAUCGGGGCAGGGUGAGUCGACCCCUAAGGCGAGGCCGAAAGGCGUAGUCGAUGGGAAACGGGUUAAUAUUCCCGUACUUGGUGUUACUGCGAAGGGGGGACGGAGAAGGCUAUGUUGGCCGGGCGACGGUUGUCCCGGUUUAAGCGUGUAGGUGUGUGUUCCAGGUAAAUCCGGUUCACUUUAACACUGAGGCGUGAUGACGAGGCACUACGGUGCUGAAGCAACAAAUGCCCUGCUUCCAGGAAAAGCCUCUAAGCAUCAGGUAACAUCAAAUCGUACCCCAAACCGACACAGGUGGUCAGGUAGAGAAUACCAAGGCGCUUGAGAGAACUCGGGUGAAGGAACUAGGCAAAAUGGUGCCGUAACUUCGGGAGAAGGCACGCUGACAUGUAGGUGAAGUGAUUUACUCAUGGAGCUGAAGUCAGUCGAAGAUACCAGCUGGCUGCAACUGUUUAUUAAAAACACAGCACUGUGCAAACACGAAAGUGGACGUAUACGGUGUGACGCCUGCCCGGUGCCGGAAGGUUAAUUGAUGGGGUCAGCGCAAGCGAAGCUCCUGAUCGAAGCCCCGGUAAACGGCGGCCGUAACUAUAACGGUCCUAAGGUAGCGAAAUUCCUUGUCGGGUAAGUUCCGACCUGCACGAAUGGCGUAAUGAUGGCCAGGCUGUCUCCACCCGAGACUCAGUGAAAUUGAACUCGCUGUGAAGAUGCAGUGUACCCGCGGCAAGACGGAAAGACCCCGUGAACCUUUACUAUAGCUUGACACUGAACAUUGAGCCUUGAUGUGUAGGAUAGGUGGGAGGCUUUGAAGCGUGGACGCCAGUCUGCGUGGAGCCGGCCUUGAAAUACCACCCUUUAAUGUUUGAUGUUCUAACGUGGACCCGUGAUCCGGGUUGCGGACAGUGUCUGGUGGGUAGUUUGACUGGGGCGGUCUCCUCCUAAAGAGUAACGGAGGAGCACGAAGGUUGGCUAAUCCUGGUCGGACAUCAGGAGGUUAGUGCAAUGGCAUAAGCCAGCUUGACUGCGAGCGUGACGGCGCGAGCAGGUGCGAAAGCAGGUCAUAGUGAUCCGGUGGUUCUGAAUGGAAGGGCCAUCGCUCAACGGAUAAAAGGUACUCCGGGGAUAACAGGCUGAUACCGCCCAAGAGUUCAUAUCGACGGCGGUGUUUGGCACCUCGAUGUCGGCUCAUCACAUCCUGGGGCUGAAGUAGGUCCCAAGGGUAUGGCUGUUCGCCAUUUAAAGUGGUACGCGAGCUGGGUUUAGAACGUCGUGAGACAGUUCGGUCCCUAUCUGCCGUGGGCGCUGGAGAACUGAGGGGGGCUGCUCCUAGUACGAGAGGACCGGAGUGGACGCAUCACUGGUGUUCGGGUUGUCAUGCCAAUGGCACUGCCCGGUAGCUAAAUGCGGAAGAGAUAAGUGCUGAAAGCAUCUAAGCACGAAACUUGCCCCGAGAUGAGUUCUCCCUGAGACUUAAAGUCUCCUGAAGGAACGUUGAAGACGACGACGUUGAUAGGCCGGGUGUGUAAGCGCAGCGAUGCGUUGAGCUAACCGGUACUAAUGAACCGUGAGGCUUAACCUUACAACGCCGAAG